rnacentral:misc_RNA from 1 species
AAGGUCGUAACAAGGUUUCCGUAGGUCAAGUUUAGCCUGCCACAGCGGGUCAAUCCUCGCUAGUCUCCGCUGGAGGCGACACGCUCAACCUGUGGGAAUGGCCGUCCCGGGAAACUCCACAGCCCACUUCCCUCGCCCGGAACGUCGGUUUAGAGGCUCAAUGAGCGUGGGUGCUGAUCUCAGCGCUUGAGAUAGAGUCCGUCCCAGCUGGUAACGCUGGGGCGAACGGAACCUGCGGAAGGAUCUUACAGAAUUGACGGUUUUCGCGAAGCCAGAUUCUCACCCCGUGUAUACACUAUCUCUGUUGCUUUGGCGGGCGCCUUGGCGCCUGCCAGAGGGAAACCCUUGAAUCUCUGCAGUCUGAGCACGAUAAAUUAGGUCAAAU